rnacentral:misc_RNA from 1 species
GCUGCUAAUCAUUAACAUUGUAAGUAAACACUAAAAAUAACUGUUUUAUCACAAUGGAGGAGAGUAAAGGGAGCUUAAUAUUCCCAGAUAACACAACACGAUGCUUUAAAAUCGAACGAGAAGAAGUAAUACAAAAUUCAUAAGUUUCAGCUGUUACUCGUCGUCUUUGUAAGGAUAUUCCUCAGGAACUUGCUUCAGAAGUUUCAACUGCAGCUCGAAUGCAUCAUCGCCUCUAAGCAUGUCACGGAUCCAUGUGACUUCAGUCUUCAUCGACACCAUCUCUAAUGCCCCUCUGAUUACUCCACUUAAGAUGUUACAAUAAUAUAGACCUUGACAUGUAUCAGGGAGCUCAACAAAGUCUACCAAGGGGUUGUCCUCCAGAAUUAAACUGCACGUUGUUCCCUCAGCAUUCCAAUUUCCCACAGUUGCUGUGACACCUAGGAACAUUUUGAGGCCAACCUUAGCAAUGACUUCAGCUGUUUCCUUGAAAUCAAUACACCUAGAUACGUUAGACUUUGCCAGAAACUCAUCAAUGAGCCGAAUUCCAAUGUUAUAACCCAUU